rnacentral:tRNA from 1 species
GUUUUCAUGGUGUAAUUUUAACACCUUACAUUUUCAUUGUAAAACUGAAACUAUUUUCUGAAAACU